GUCUGUGUUGGUCAAUGCUGAUCUUGACUGGUUUGUACUAGUACUUGAUGGUGAGAUAUCUGUGAGGGGCUGGUGCUGGGUUGGAUGGCAGGUAUACACUAUCCUGCUCUAUCUCAUGUAUUCUCUAUUCUCUUCCUCCUCUCCUCUAUUCAUCAAAAUAGACCUGUGAUUUAUGGUGACUGCUGCAAAGGCUUCUGGGUAAUUAUUACUGAGCCAGCCAGCGGAGAUGUGGAGAAUUAAUGUGGGGGGUGGGGGAUGGUGUGUGUGAGUAUGUGUGGUGACAUAGUGCCGUGUAGCUCUAUACAUACUACAUUACACAGUCAUAAACCUAACAUAAGAGGCUUUUAUUUCUAAAUAUUUCAUCAUUUUCAUUUUAAGUGUUUUUCAAAAAUCUUUAUUUACUCUGAUUGUGAUUGGCUCCUGAGUGUCUCUGACCCACCCCUUCUCUUCUGUGGUCCAAUCAGUGAACAGUCUGGCCCGCUCCAAGUACUGCUGACACCCAAUCAGGAGGGGGAAGAGGUCCGGCCAGCCUACCAGGAUGCAACCCUGGGCCCUGGUCAGCCCCCUCUCCACUCAUCCCUCCCACGCCCUCCCACCAACAACCCCCCAGCACAGGUUGAGGAGGGUGAGAAGGGGGAGCGGGUGAGGAGGGGUGAGGAAGGACAGGGGAUGAGCCUGGAGGAGUUGUUACAGGUUGGGGGUGUGAGACCUGUUGGCAGACACCUGGCCAUCUCUCUCCCCUCUCUACCUCUCAGACUCUGGGAUAUAUCUCACACACACACUCCCCCCUCACACACACACUCUUACUCUGACCCCCAACACACACACCCUCCACCCUCACAUACAAACCCUGAGCACCCACACACACACUCUGCUCCUCCCGCAGUCAGCCCCACCCCUCACCCUCCACUGCCUCUCCACAUUGGCCCGAUCAAGGUUCCGCCUCCAACACCGUCACACGUCAUUGGUCCUCCUGGAGCGUGGACCGCCCAGAUGCCGUGGUUACGCCAUAUGACACCCCUCCAGACCGCCGCCUCCCCUUUAGGCCACACCUCCCCUACCGAAACUACAACUCCCAGCCUGCCCCUGGGCAGCAUGACCCCUGUGACCCUGAGGAGGCAGAGUUUUCAGAGCUGGACUUCCUAUACCGGGCCAGCCUCCAGCCAGGAUGUAGAAGUAGGUACUGCAGACUAUAGUAGCUGUGUGUCUAGUAUAUGUAUGAAGUUGUGUGUGUAUAUAGUGAGAGUGAUCCCUGACCUCCAGACUAUGCCCUGUGUGUGUCUAGGUAGUAGCCCGGUCAGGAGGCUGCAGUGUGGGGUAGGAGGGCCAGCUCGUUCCCUCACCCCCAAUGCCAACAUGGAGAGGAGUGUUUACCAGACUGACUGCAGCAGCACAAUGGUCCGUAGUCUGAGCGGCACAAUCAUCAACCCAUCGUCUCACCGCAACACGCAGCUUUGAGAUGUCCAAUGGUGCGGGGAGUUUCUGGUGUCUGACUGGGGUGAAGUUGUCUUCAGGCCACUGAUCCGCCUCCAUAUGCAUCUACACUACAGGCUCCUUCCAGGCCAGCCCUCUGGGGUCCUAACCCUCCACACCACUACAGGCUCCUUCCAGGCCAGGCCUCUGGGGUCCUAACCCUCCACACCGCUACAGGCUCCUUCCAGGGCAGGCCUCUGGGGUCCUAACCCUCCACACCGCUACAGGCUCCUUCCAGGCCAGCCCUCUGGGGUCCUAACCCUCCACACCGCUACAGGCUCCUUCCAGGCCAGCCCUUUGGGGUCCUAACCCUCCACACCGCUACAGGCUCCUUCCAGGCCAGGCCUCUGGGGUCCUAACCCUCCACACCGCUACAGGCUCCUUCCAGGCCAGCCCUCUGGGGUCCUAACCCUCCACACCGCUACAGGCUCCUUCCAGGCCAGCCCUCUGGGGUCCUAACCCUCCACACCGCUACAGGCUCCUUCCAGGCCAGCCCUCUGGGGUCCUAACCCUCCACACCGCUACAGGCUCCUUCCAGGCCAGCCCUCUGGGGUCCUAACCCUCCACACCGCUACAGGCUCCUUCCAGGCCAGCCCUCUGGGGUCCUAACCCUCCACACCGCUACACUGUAAACCCCAAUGUGCUGUCAUUACUCAACACUUUUGAGGAAGCUCAUUGCACUUAAUAUAUACAUUUUAGUCAUUUGGCAGAUGCUCUUAUCCAGAGUGACUUACAGGAACCUCUAAGCCACGCCUCCAAUAGAAUUUCCCAGUGUGCCUUGCCUUUUUGAGUAAAUUGUAGAGUUACCAUCCAUGACUGUAUUUGUUAGUGACAUGGUUGUUGAAUUCAUUUCUUUUAUAUUUGUCCUGUGACCUUCACCAAUUGAAUUCCAAGGUAAAUGUUAUCAUUAUAAUUAUAGUCUUUAUUACUUAUCUCAUAAGACCUUAUUUUGAGGCCUAGUGUUACCCUAAUACAGUGGCCUGAAACUCAUGGUUUACAGGCCACAUCAGGCCUGCAAAUAGGGUUGAAAACUUCUGGAAGCUUUCCCAAAAUUACUUGAUUUUCAAAAAAAUCCUAGUUGAAGGAUUUCUGCACAACAUACCCAAUUUUUGCCAUCCCUACCUGCAAAUCACAUUAGGCUGGCUUGUAAAGUGAUGUGUAAAACAGUUGACAUUUUAAUUUACCCGCAACCUGCAUUUAUAAUGACUGCCAGGGUUAGAAACCAUUUAAACUGGAACAACCAUUUCAUUAAUGGGUGCCAAAAAAUCUAAGUAAAUGAUUGGAUUAGUUUCCCAUACGGGAAAAAUGCAUUUAAAAUAUAUUACAUUUAAAAUAUAUAAAUAUAUUAAAAUAUAUUUUUAGGAUGCAGCUUAGGAUACAUGUGAAAUAUAAAACAUUUGCCAAAUAAUGUCUUUUGUAUGCAUUUGUAAAUGUAUUUUAAUGUGUGACAUACAUUUGUAAAUGUAUUCGGAAUAUAUACAUUUGUUUAGAAAUAUAUUAUUUGGCGAGUUUGGGCUGUCGCCCCUCCCUGACCUUUUCCAACUAUUCAGUCUAUGCAGUCAUUCUCAGCUCCCCUCAGCAGGAAUUACUCUGAAACCCCAAACUAGAAAACAACAAAAUCAUCUAAUUACUCUUCUGUUAGCCUCCUAAUAUGGACCGACUCUGAACGUUAGCCUGCUAGCCUGCUCCUCUUUGGAUCUAUAAAGGAGAAAGUAGAUUAACUAGCCUGGUUUAGCCUCUAACCACCCUGCUUUACCUGCCCCAAUCAGAGGGGCUCUGGAACCUUCAAAUUGACAGAUCCAAAGGGGGAGGGGGUUAACGAUUAGCCACGCCUCUUCCUCUUUCUUAAUGGACAUUUCCUGUCAGAUGAUGGCACACCACACCUGGCUGUGCUGUUUCCAUGGCAACCUCUGGACUAGUGCGUACAUGCCCACAUAGCUACCUAUAGGUUGAACUCUAAUAAUAACUAAAGUCAUCUACAGAAACACUAUAUAUGAAACCUUUAUGUUAUUAAGACCUUAUGGAAUAUUAAUAAUGAUAAUAAUGAAGAUAUUGAUCAUUUAGUGGUACCUACUGGUUCUGGAGUGAGUGACCUUCACAAGGGUCCAGCUGGAGGUCACCUGACUGACAGUUGUAGCUGCCAACGCUGCGCUCUCAUUUCUACUGGGAGAAACUACCGGACUAGCGCUUCAUUUCCUCUUCGUUUAUUUUUUUAAUACAUAUUUUUUUACAGAUAACGGUAGCUAAAUGGAACAAACUUUUGCACACCUAAAGUAAUGUGAUAAACAGCUAUGAUAGAGGGAGGGUAAGGAAACUAUGAUAGAGGGAAGGUAAGGGAACUAUGAUAGAGGGAGGGUAAGGGAACUAUGAUUGAGGGAUGGUAAGGGAACUAUGAUAGAGGGAGGGUAAGGGAACUAUGAUAGAGGGAGGGUAAGGGAACUAUGAUAGAGGGAAGGUAAGGGAACUAUGAUAGAGGGAGGGUAAGGGAACUAUGAUAGAGGGAGGGUAAGGGAACUAUGAUAGAGGGAAGGUAAGGGAACUAUGAUAGAGGGAAGGUAAGGGAACUAUGAUAGAGGGAGGGUAAGG
ensembl:lncRNA